AACGAACGCUGGCGGCGUGCCUAACACAUGCAAGUCGAGCGAGAAAGCCCGCAAGGGUGAGUAAAGCGGCGCACGGGUGCGUAACACGUGGGUAAUCUGCCCUGAAGUCCGGAAUAACCCGCCGAAAGGCGUGCUAAUGCCGGAUGAGACCACGGGAGCCUCGGCUCCUGCGGGAAAAGGUGGCCUCUGUAUACAAGCUAUCACUUCAGGAUGAGCCCGCGGCCCAUCAGCUCGUUGGCGGGGUAAUGGCCCACCAAGGCUACGACGGGUAGCUGGUCUGAGAGGACGAUCAGCCACACUGGAACUGAGACACGGUCCAGACUCCUACGGGAGGCAGCAGUGGGGAAUCUUGCGCAAUGGGCGAAAGCCUGACGCAGCAACGCCGCGUGUGUGAGGAAGGUCUUCGGAUCGUAAAGCACUGUCGCGAGGGACGAAUAAGGGGCGAGCUAACAUCUCGUUCCGAUGACGGUACCUCGAGAGGAAGCACCGGCUAACUCUGUGCCAGCCGCCGCGGUAAAAC
rnacentral:rRNA from 1 species